rnacentral:lncRNA from 10 species
UAAAAUUAUACUGUGUUCAGAACAAUGUGGGCUUUUAUGCGUCAUGCUUAAGCUUCAAUCCAAAUAUGCUUCUGGAGUAUAGUUACACCAGAAAAACAAGGAAUGUAAAAAUAACGCCUCAUGAGUCAAUGUGUUUUCUGCCUAAAAUAGUUUUUUUUUUUUUUUUUUGAGAUGGAGUUGCGUUCUGUCGCCCAGGCUGGAGUGCAGGGGCGCGAUCUCGGCUCACUGCACUCCGCCUCCCGGGUUCAAGCGAUUCUCCCACCUCAGCCUCCCGACCAAAACAGAUUCUUAAUAUGGCUGGCCCUGCACAGCCCAGAUCACCUUGGGAAAAUAGCCUGAAAUUGACUUUACAUCAUGCAGAUUCAAGACUAUCUGGCUCUGUAUUAAGUCAUGGACAAAAAAAAAAAAAAAAAAAAAAUGGCCAAUUGAUGGGGCAGAGGGAAAGGGGGAAGGAGGAAGAGAGAGGAAUGAGUGUAAGACUGGCAAUUUAUUUGAAGAAGGAAGAAAAGAAGAUAAAAUGAACACUCUUCAGAAGGUUUUCAAUGACCAGAGUUAAUUUUCUUUAAUUUUCACACACUGAUCAAAUCAAGGGAACUGUAAUCAGUCUCUUUUUCCCCAUUCCCUCCUCUGGCUUGAUCUGAACAUGGAAAAUCAGUCAGCCUUCUUCUUUAUUAUUUUUUAUUUUAUUUUAUUUUAUUUUUUGAGACGGAGUCUCCCUCUGUUGCCCAGGCUGGAGUGCAGUGAUGUGAUCUCAGCUCACUGCAACCUUCGCCUCCCAGAUCCAAGCGAUUCUCUUGCCUCAGCCUCCUGAGUAGCUGACACUACAGGUAUGAGCCACCGUGCCCGGCCAGUCCAUUCUUUUCUAAGCUCUGUGCACCAGGCUGGCAACACUUGUUUAAAAACCCAUUCUAUACUUCUCUGUUUUAACUUUUAACCCUCUCCCUGGGACAUGUGAAGAGGAAAAGUGAGCCCCAACACAUAAGAAUGAAGAGGAGAAGAAUGUGGGCUGCAUUUCCCAUGGGACACUGGAAAUGCUGGCUUCAUGGAGACAAGAUUCUUUUUCAGAAUCCCUACACAAAUUGCUGGAAAGAACUUCCAAGGAGGCAUGGCUAAAAAGAGACACCUGUGUCACAUGAGGAGAGAUGCCAUCUCUAGACUGGACUUUGUCCUUGACUGACACAAGGGCAAGCCUGAGCUCAUAAACGGCUUCUCCAUCUCCAUGAGCUGUCAGCACAAAGGUAACUGCCUCUCCACGGAGGAAAAAGGUCUUCACCCGGAACUCUUGGCGAUGAACUGACCAAGUAAGGGAUGAGGAGGAGGAGCUUCUCAAGAGUUCCUAGAGAAAGACGAUGCCUGGGGAAGAUAAUGGCCAGUAGAGUUGGUGCCAGGGACUCUAGAAGGAAGAGGCUGGAGACAUCCAAGAGAAAUAUGAUCAGGAACUGGACUGAGACAGUGCUUGGAAGAUGAGUGGGGAGACAGAAAGGAAAAGGCAAGCUCUGGAAGCUGACAAAGUAUGGAAGGAAGGGCAAUGGCCUGUGGAAAAUAACUGAGACUUGCUGCCUGUGAGGCCAAUGACAUGCUGUCUUUGCCCACUGCUCCUGUCAGGUAAAUCCAUUCUCUCAGGGAGGAACUGCUUUACAAUUUCAGCAGAGAUGCCCAGCAGCUCAGUCAUCAUUUUUAAGCAGUGUGUUCAUCUCACACCAGUGGGUGACAUGUAAAGAUGUGCGGUUCAAGGUGUGUCAGAGGCCAGGAGCACCCAGCAAACCUGACUGGGGUGUCAGAGGAGGGGCCCAGGGCCUGAAUCUGUGCUCACCUCCUGGAUAUUCUGCUUUGCCCGGCUGUCAGAGGGAUGCAUGAUGGUCCCCAUCACUUUCAUGUUGCCACAGACAACCAGGGCUUCGUCCGGCGCAUCUGUGUUGAUUCCUACUCGACCGUGACAGACAAUAGAUUCUGGAACUUGUCCUCGCUGCCACAAUGCAUCACUGUCAUUUUCAAACUGCCCAGGGUUAGAGGCCUGGAAAAAUACAUAAAUAUAUUACAAUUAAAGUAACAGUAGCAGGAAUAGAUGAUCACAUUAGUGUUCAGAGCAAAGGCAAACUGAAUAUUAUCUAAGUCUUUCAUAAGAGAAUCCUGUAUUGAGUGGGACAUUCUGACAUAUCCAAGUAAUUCCGGGGCCCAGGAGAGCCAGGGAGGCUUCCCUAACCACUCUGCCUCCCCGCUAGCAGGAGCUCUGUAUACCCUGAUUUGAAACAUCCAAUCUCUAUUGCAUCUAUCUGGAAUUAAGAAUGUGAUCAGUUAUACUAGGUGGAUGAUAAAGAAGAAAACUAAAAAUGGCUAUCUUUCCAGGAAUAGUCAUCAUCAUCAUGAUUUAAAAUCAGAACAUUAUAUCAGAAAAUAUUACAGGUGUACUAAAGUCAGAUAAAUAAAAAUACCUUGCAUUUAGCUAGCCCUAUUAUAGUUUCAAAAUGCUUUUAUAUUUAUGAUUUCAUACACAAGUGACAAGCAAAUGAUAAUACAAAUAUAUUUAAUAUACAUCAACUAUUCCCUAAACACAGAGGAUACUGAAGGAAGAAUAAUAACAGCUACAUUUGUUGUGCGAUAAUUCACAGUGCAAUUAUAUGAGACACGUACUAUUGUCCUCAUUUUAUUGACACUGACACUCUGAAAAGAUAAAUAAAUUGCCCAAAGCCACAAAGCUAAUAAGUUCUGGAGCUGGAACUACAAGUCCUCUGAUUAUUAAAUAAUGAUUUGCCUGUUUCACGGCAUUGCUUAGAAGUAGUCCUGGCAAUCUUCAAAGAAAAUCCAAGUGAAACCAUUGGACUAGACAAAGUUCUGGAGAUUUUACUCUUAAAUAAAAUUCUUUGUCAAAGAAUGUUCCACUGCACUGCCUUCCUUCCUGCUUCCCUGUAGCCACUGAAUAUAUUCCCAAAUAUUUUAAAGUAAGCAUCUCUAAAUCCCUCAAAAUCCUCACAACAAAAUUAAUUUGUUUUUAAAAUUAUGAUGUAUUUUUAUGAUUGAGGCAGGCUGUCACAACUUUAGAUAAACAGUUGUGAUCCUGAUUAUCUAAAAAGUCAGUACUAAUACUUGACUUUUUACCUUUCUGGUGGUAUAUGAUACAUUGCAGGCUCAGCACCUGAAUAUGCAUAGAUUUUCUCUGAAGACUACUCAGGAAACCAAUAACAAUGGUUUCCUCAAGGAUGGAGCCUGGGAGAUGGAGAAACAGUGGUAGGAGGGAGAUUCACCUUUCACUAUAUACUCUCUUGGUAUUGUUUGAGUGUUUUUGUCAUAUGCAUUUGUUACAAUUUUAAAAAUAAUUAAAAGAAACCACAAAGUUUAUUUCUUAGUUUGGGUUUAAAGAACUUUUUGAUGUCUUCAAUUUCCUAAUUCAAUCCCAAGUGUCUGAACCCUGAGCUGCUUGGAAGACUCAACCAUUGAUACUUGAUAAACAGAAGCAGUGAAAGAGGCCAGGUGUGUGGUGGCUCACACCUGUAAUCCCAGCACUUUGGGAGGCUGAGGUGUGUGGAUCACCUGAGGUCAGGAGUUCAAGACCAGCCUGGCCAACAUGGUGAAGCCCCAUCUCUACUAAAAAUACAAAAAUUAGCCAUGUGUGGUGGCAUGUUCCUAUAGCCCCAGCUACUCAGGAGGCUGAGUCAGGAGGAUCACUUUAACUCAGGAGGCAGGGGUUGCAGUGAGCUGAGAUCAUGCCACUGCACUCCAGCCUAGGGGACAGAGCAAUACUCUGUCUCAAGAAAAUUUAAAAAAAACAAAAAAAAACAGCAGUGAAAGAAUGUAAUGGGGUGGGAGGGUAGUGGGGAGUGGGGGAAGAGUAUAAAGUAAAAACUUUGAACAUUAUUUUGUGUAAAUUUACUUGAACAAAGAGCUUUUCUGCAAGUUCCCUAGAGCCCCUUGGUUGUGAAUGGCAAAUUGGCUUUGACUCAAAUCCUUUUAUAGCAACCAAUCAACUAAAUCCAAAGGUAUGCCAUAUAAGAUGGUGAUGUAUUUUUCUCUAUUUUGAACAUAAUGAGCCACUUCAAGGAAACAAAAUAAGACAGUGAUGAAUUUUUUCAUAAUGAGCUUUGGGAUAGUUAUUAUCAUGUUGGUAACUUGAUACUGGAACAGCAGAUAUAAGUGGAUUUAAUUUUUUGGAACAAUUGCAAUACUCUCACUUAGCUCUCAUCAGAUGAAAACUCAAAUCCCUAAAAUAUGUUCACAUUAUUUUGGAAAGGGCCACAGAUUCACAACAUUCUAAAUAUAUAGCCCUAGGGAGAAUUCCUCAUCAGUAACAGGAAAUGUUCUCAUAAGAUCUGUGAACUUAUUUCCUUUCUCUGGAAUCCACAACCUUCAUGUGUGAAAGCAAGCCACAAUAUACUACCUCUUUCUGGAAUUAUGAGUUUGUAUUCACAUGUGACCCAAUAGUGGCUGAUGGAUAUCAAACACCAAAACAAAUUAAUUAAAAUGUCUAAAAUAUUUUUAUUGUUUGUGUCAUAUCCUCUUAUUUAGGGAAGAGACCCGAGCAUUCUAGUCUAUGUUAUAACACAAACUAGCUGUGUGACCUUGGGGCAGCCACUUAAUCUUUCUCUGUACUGUGUCCUCCUCUGAUGAAUAAAGAAUCAUGUCUCCUUUACCCACCUCAUAGGGUUAUUGUGGGAUUAAGUGAAAUCAUGUGUGCAUGAACAGUUUGCAAAAAUGAGGAUGAAAAGUCUCAAAGUUAUUCUCGACACACUCUCCUGGGCACAGCAGCAGCUAUUUAACCUAUAAUUGCUUCAUCUGCUCUCCUCAGCAACGCACCUGCAGAGUUGCACAAUUCCAGGGGGACGCCUUUCAUAAAAAAUACAAUGUAAAUGGCGCCCCCUGCAGGUUAUUGGAAUAGAAAACAGCAUCAGCAGCAAUUUGAAGGCUAUGCUGAGUUAGAAGUGAAAAGCUGGAAUUUGUUUUACCAUCGUUUGGGAUUCGAAAGCAGCAGCCAAUGAACUAAUAGAAGAGCUUGACCUGAGGAAGGCAGCUCUUAGGAAGUCCAUUUUUGCACCUUUUGAGAGGGUUACAGAAAAAGGACCUAGAAAUACUCUCUGCUGGUGCUACUCAAAGCAUGGUCUGCAGGCUAGCAAUAUCAGCAUCUCCUGGAAGCCUGUUAGAAAUGCAUAUUCUCAGGCAUCCCUGACCUACUGAAUCAAAAACACAGGUAUCUGUGUUCUUACAAGCUCUCUGGGGAUUCUUAUUCAUAAUACAAGCUUGAGAACUACUUCUUUAUGCCAUGUACUCCUGGUCGUAAGUUGCCCUUCUGUAGUUGACAGAAAGAUCUGUUGAGUCCAAAACAGGCAUUACUCCAUAAACUGUUUUCUUUGAGUAAACAAACAUUCAUCUGAACUCCAAA